CUAGGAAACCCGUGAUCAUAAGUGAUUUGCUCACUCCACUAGAAGAGAAUGACUUGUUAAAAGAAGCGGAGAAAGUGAAUGACGACCUAGGAUGGGACUCGGAUGGUGUGGUUCCUAUCUAUUGUUUGCACAAGAUGGCCAAAGAAGAAGAGCCCGAUCCGGUUGUAAAUCCUCAAAAGUCUUCCACUUCAACAUUGAAAGCUUCGGUGAGGAAAGGCUCUAAGAAAUCUCCAUCACGGUCUAGUAAGAAGGAAAGAACCAAUUUGACGACCAAAGGGGAAGAUCUCAAGAGCGAUUCGGGA
rnacentral:lncRNA from 1 species